GACGAACGCUGGCGGCGUGGAUUAGGCAUGCAAGUCGAACGGUAUCAUCCUUUCGGGGGUGAGAGAGUGGCGAACUGGUGAGUAACACGUAGGUUAUCUACCCUCAAGACGGGGACAACCCAGGGAAACUUGGGCUAAUACCGGAUGUGAGCAACUUUUAGUUGUUUGAAAGGUGGCGUAAGCUGUCGCUUGGGGAUGAGCCUGCGUCCUAUUAGUUAGUUGGUGAGGUAACGGCUCACCUAGGCAAUGAUAGGUAGGCGGCCUUAACGGGUGGUCGCCCACACUGGGAUUGAGAUACGGCCCAGACUCCUACGGGAGGCAGCAGUCGAGAAUAGUCUACAAUGGUCGGAAGACUGAUAGUGCGACGCCGCGUGAACGAUGAAUCCCUUCGGGGUGUAAAGUUCUUUUAUAUGUGAGCAGUGCUUCUUAUAUUAACAGUAUGGGGAGAGAGAUAUUAGCAUAUGAAUAAGCAACGGCUAACUCCGUGCCAGCAGCCGGGUAAAAGUGU
rnacentral:rRNA from 1 species